CAUAAAAUAGAUUAAAAUGAUAUUGGAAAAGUACUUGAAUCACAGCUGGGUUGGACUUGUUGCAAUUGAUGACAAAAUAAGUGCUUCAAAUGAUUUUGACUAUCAAAGGAUUGAGAGAGGUCCUUAGAAAAAUUGAAAAGCCCUCAAGUUAUUUUUAUAAAAAUGGCCUUUUUUGUGUGCUGUGAAAUCCACAUAUGGAAAUGUGAAAUAUGUCAUGUCCUGCUGUCAUAUAAUUUGUCAGAAUAAUUACUUUCUUGCCCAAAAGUCUGUACUUUGUGUUUAUUUCAAGUUAAGUCUAGAAUCAAAUAUAGUUGUAGUUAUGCCUAAUUUUAAAAAAUGAGAUAGAGCACAUUAUUUUUGUAACUGUUUUUUUAAGAUAAAGUCUUAUUCCAACUUUAAUUGGAAUUUAUGAAAUACCUUGUUGAUAGUGAAUUUAUUUAAGUAGCCUUUUUUCAGUAUUGAUAUUCUUAUAUCUUUAUGGCACCAUUUAGUGGAGAGAAAUGUAAACAAACAUAAAGAUGUAGUAUUAAAUCAUAACUGCAUAAAAUUAACUGUAGUAUGUACUGCACUACUGUAAUAAUUUUGUAGCUACCUCCUGUUGCUAUUGUGGUGAGUGAGCUCAAGUGUUACCAAUAUCUGCUUAAAAUGCCAUGUGCCGCUAACCAUCUCCACAUGAGCAGCACAUGAGAGUCUCCAUUAAUUGCAUAUGGCAGCGAAAAGUGAUCUCUUGCAUUGUCGUGUAUUUUUUAUCACGUUUAAUGUAAUAUCGUAAACCUUAAAUAACACCAUGAGACCUAUAGGAAGUACCACAAGUGUUGCUCCCAGGAAGCAGAGAAAAGUCAUAACAUUACAAGAAAAAGUUGACUUGCUCGAUAUGUACUAUAGAUUGAGGUCUGCAGCUGUAGUUGCCCACCACUUCAAGAUAAAUGAACCCAGUGCAAGGACUAUUAUAAAAGAAAAGGAAAUUUAUGAAGCUGUCACUGCAGUUAUGCCAGCAGGCAUGAAAACCUUGUACUUUUUGCAAAAUACCUUUUUAUGUUGUAUUGAAGAUGCAGCUUUUAUGUGGGUGCAGGAUUGCUAUGAGAAAGGCAUACCUAUACAACUAUUAUGAUUUGAGAAAAAGCACAGUCAUUGUAUGAGAACUUAAAGCAAAAAGAUGAAGGAUCAAAGCUGGAGAAUUUAAUGCCAGCAAAGGAUGGUUUGAUAAUUUUAGAAAGAGGUUUGGCUUUGUAAAUGUCUGGAUAAUAGGAAAAGCAGCUCCUGCCAUCCAGGAGGCAGCAGCAAAGGCAGUCAGGUUUAUGAUCAGGACUGCCCUUAUCUGUAAAGCUGCUAACCCCCGAGCCUGGAAGGGAAAAGAUUAACACCAGCUGCCAGGCUUUUGGUUGUACCAUACAACAAGAAGGCUUGGACAAGGAGAACACUUUUUCUGGAUUGGUUCCAUUGUCGAUUUGUCCCUGAAGUUAAGUAGUAUCUUGCCAGUAAGGGGACUGCCUUUUAAAGUUCUUUUGAUACUGGAGAAUGCCCGAGGCCACCCCAAACUCCAUGAGUUCAACACCGAAGACAUUGAAGUGAUCUACUUGCCCCCAAACACACAUCUCUAAUUCAGCCUCUAGAUCAGGGUGUCAUAAGGACCUUUAAGGCUCGUUACAAACAGUACUCUAUAGAAAGGAUUGUCAAAUGUAUGGAAAAGAACCUUGACAGAACAUGAAAGUCUGAAAGAAUUACACCAUCAAUGAUGCCAUCAUUGUUAUAGAAAAAGCUGUGAAAGCCAUCAAGCCCAGGACAAUAAAUUCCUGCUAGAGAAAACUGUGUCCAGAUGUGCAUGACUUCACAGGCUUUACGACAGCCAAUCAAGGAAAUCAUGAAAAAGAUUGUGGAUCUGGCACAAAAAAAAAAAAAAAAAAAAAAA
rnacentral:lncRNA from 1 species